rnacentral:tRNA from 1 species
AUCUUUUUAUUAUAUUUGUAUAUUUGGCUUCCAACCAAAAGGACUAGAAAUUCUAGAAAUGAUA